rfam:TPA: Bos taurus chromosome 3, whole genome shotgun sequence.
UCCCUGGUGGCUCAGACAGUAAAAGCGUCUGCUUGCAAUGCAGGAGAUCCAGGUUUGAUCCCUGGAUUAGGAA